UGAAUCAAUAAUAACUACACGUGCGGUC
rnacentral:piRNA from 1 species